GUGCCAGCCGCCGCGGUAAGACAGAGGUGCCGAGCGUUAGGCGGAAUCACUGGGCUUAAAGCGUGUGUAGGCGGGCCGUUAAGUAUCUUGUGAAAUCCCCCGGCUCAACCGGGGAAUGGCUGGAUAUACUGGCGGUCUUGAGCAAUCUAGGGGCAGAUGGAACAGACGGUGGAGCGGUGAAAUGCGUAGAUAUCGUCUGGAACGCCAAAGGUGAAGACAGUCUGCUGGGGAUUCGCUGACGCUGAGACACGAAAGCCAGGGGAGCGAACGGGAUUAGAUACCCCCGUAGUCC
rnacentral:rRNA from 1 species